rnacentral:rRNA from 1 species
CACCGAGUGGCGGACGGGUGAGUAACGCGUGGGUAACCUGCCUCAUACAGGGGGAUAACAGUUAGAAAUGACUGCUAAUACCGCAUAAGACCACAGCACCGCAUGGUGCAGGGGUAAAAACUCCGGUGGUAUGAGAUGGACCCGCGUCUGAUUAGGUAGUUGGUGGGGUAACGGCCUACCAAGCCGACGAUCGGUAGCCGACCUGAGAGGGUGACCGGCCACAUUGGGACUGAGACACGGCCCAA